GCCACUGUACUCUUCAUAACCAUGGAUUUCAAUUCUGCUGUGCAGCCAUUGGGAAUCUUAAGAUAUCGAGAGACCAAGUACACACGGUGCUUAAGUUAAUAAGGGCGGGCCUGGUGCAGCGGUAGAGCCUCACCGCCUGUGACCGAGAGGUCCCAGGUUCGAGUUGCGGUCUCCUCACAUUGCACUUCGUGAGGGUAAGGCUUGCCACUAACACCUUCCCCAGACCCCGCACAGUGCGGGAGCUCUCAGCACUGGAUCCUCUCCCCGCAAGUAAGACGCCCCAGCCAGAUCCUCUUCUGCCGCUAUGCCCCGACUGCCGCUGCGCCCCGGCCGCCGCUGCAACCCACCUUCACAAGCCUGGGGGCAAGCCGGCGCACUCGCGUUAUGGAUACAACCGACCAUCGACAGGAACUGCUCUAUGCAGAGACAUCGCUAGAUAUCCGGUGAUGUGGUUGAUGGAUCUGUGUUGUGCCUUGUGCUGUUCCCGACCUUCAACCAAGGGUGCCCUCACUCCCAGAUCCCCUGCCAUGAGUGCCACCUGCCAACCAUCUCCAACACCCGACUCCUCUCUUAAUCAGGCAAUCUUUGCAUGGACCUAUACACACUGGUUCUGAAAAUUAAAAAGAGAGAUUGGCAAAAUAAGUGGAUGAUGCAUGGCUGUGAUGAUAACAGCAAGUUUCGAGAAUGGUGUCACUACUAGAUAGUUGUCUAUUAUAUUUUAGAAUGUUAUUGAUAUACACAGCUUGUAUUCAUCAAUUCAUUCUCCAUGUAAAGCUACAAAGUUAUUUGAUAUAUGAGAUCUUUCUUUUACUA